rnacentral:tRNA from 1 species
GCAGAUGUGCUGAAACUGGUAGACGGAACAGACUCAAAAUCUGUCGCAAGUAAUUGCAUGUGGGUUCGAUUCCCACCAUCUGCA